GAUGAACGCUAGCGGCAGGCCUAACACAUGCAAGUCGAGGGGCAUCAUGGCGUAGCAAUACGCUGAUGGCGACCGGCGCACGGGUGCGUAACGCGUAUGGAACCUACCCACCGCAGGGGGAUAACCCGCCGAAAGGCGGACUAAUACCCCAUGGUUCCCCGACCCUGCCUGGGGUUGGGGGUAAAGCCUACGGGCGGCGGUGGAUGGCCCUGCGUGCCAUUAGCUGGCUGGUGGGGUAACGGCCCACCAGGGCGACGAUGGCUAGGGGGUCUGAGAGGACGAUCCCCCACACUGGUACUGAGACACGGACCAGACUCCUACGGGAGGCAGCAGUGAGGAAUAUUGGUCAAUGGGCGGAAGCCUGAACCAGCCAUGCCGCGUGCAGGAUGACGGCCCUACGGGUUGUAAACUGCUUUUCCAGGGAGAGAAACUUACGCACGUGUUGCGUGACUGACGGUACCCUGGGAAUAAGCAUCGGCUAACUCCGUGCCAGCAGCCGCGGUAAACUGU
rnacentral:rRNA from 1 species